CUUCUCUCUGUCUCUCCUCCCCCAUCCCCCUCAAUCCGAAUCUUCCCCCGGAACCCAAUCCAUGGCGCCGCAGCGCUCGCUGCCCUCGGCCUCCUCACGCCGCCGCCGCUCGUCCUCCUCGACUUCCCCCGCGUGCGUUCUCCUCUUCCUCUCCUCUGCGCCACGCCGGCUUCCGAUCCCGCGCCUCCAACCCCUGAUCCAUCGACGCUGGCGGAGUGCCCUUCGGCGGAGAGAAGGCCCAGGGCGACACCGGCCCCCAAUCCCAUGCGUCGAGCCCCUGCUUCGUGCAUGGUGCUGGAGCACCCUUCAGCGCCGAGGAGGCGCAGCGCGACAAGGCCGCCGCCGGCGUCGGUGCUCCCUGGCGCGACACGACCUCCGCCGGCGUCGGUUCUCCAAGCACAUCCACUCCGACGACGCCCAGGUCCUCUCUAGUUGUUGUUUGUUCCGUUUGUCGAAGCUUCGGCCAGCCUGCUGUUCGUUGCCGUGUCGAGAUGUUGCAAGGUUAAAAUGGCAUGGACGAGUACUCAUUUAUUCAUGGAGCUAGCGCAGAGCAUCCUUUUUUGAUAGAGGGAUUUGGGCAUCAAUCCUUGGCCUUGCUCCUGAUUAUGUAUGGGAAGUGGGAGUGCUAAUUAGGCAUUGGAUGUAUACUUUGCCUAUGAAGAUUAGUGGAACUGCUCAAAUUUACCUCAAAUAUAGUUACAAGGUUACAUUCUUCUUCACUUAUAUAUGCUCUUUUUUAUGCACUCUUGUUUCAUUUAUGGAUUUGGUGUAUCCUCAAGUAUGUAAAUCCACAAGGUAUAUAAUUGGUACAGGAUUAAGCACAAAUUAUUGAGAGCUGAUGCUGAACAAUGCACUUGAACUUUGAGCAAUCUGUCAGCCAUUGUUCAAAUAACAUCUUUAUGUGCUUAGGAUUAGGAGGAUAUAUAUGAACCCAACUUCGACACAGGUUUUGCAUUGGCUGCAUAGGCCGCUGCCCCGUUUAUUAAGUUUGCUAUCCAUCUUACUCACAUUGUUGGUUGUGGCUGCCAUCAUCAUUAUAUUACAGGUUCUUCAUUUCCUUCUGUUGUGCCACCCUGCAUUCUUAACUAUAUGCUCUUUAUGGAAAUCAUAGGUUAAUGAAAAAGGCUAUCUCAUUGCAGGAGACAUGUUCAUUUUUUUUGAAGGAUAAACUCUUCAUGCCCCAACUACAACAAGAGGAGAUAGCUCAAGAUGCACUUUUGGUAUUGUUCUGCAAUCUGUUUACACAUCCGGGACUGCUGUUGUUGUUGCUUGUGGUUGUCUCAUGAUCUUGGCUGUUGGUGGCUGGUACCAGCUCAGAUUGAUCUGGCGAUAGGAGAUGAUGGGGGUAGAUUAUACGAUCGAGGAAAGGCGAAUCUGAGCCCACUAUGCAUGGAACCCCGAACCCUUUUUAUUUGUAUUUAAAGGUGUUGCUUAUUUAUGCUCCAGUGUUUAUAGUCGUCUUAUGUAAAUAUUUCUUCUCUCUCAUACCUUUGUUGCAUAUACGUUGUUCUUGAUCUUUUAUUGUUUGUUGUUGGUCCUUGAUCUAAUCUGGUUAAGAGUAAGUUGCACUUUGUUAUUCUGGGAUAAGCGAUGGUUCGCAAUGCUAUUGGUUCUUCAUGAGUUCAGAGGAGGAUUUCUGAUAUGAGUCAUGCCAGUAAGCUUUCUUGCAGUGCAGGAAUUUAUUUAUUUUCUUUCCGGAGCCGCGGCCGCUGCCCUGUGACCAGAAGCAUUGGGGAUCUCGAGAGGGAAUUUUGCAGUUGUGGCCAUUUUAAAAAUAGACCUCUGUGAAAUCUAUGUACUCCUGAUACUAUUAUAUCAUGCUACAUUUCCUGUGAUAUAUCAAAUAUCUAUCCUUUGUCCUAAACAAGAGGCCUUACGUUUAUACUGAGCAAUACUAAUUUGGUCAGUAUAUAAUAUUGCAAUGCUUAUAACCCUUUGGUCAGUGACCCAUCUGAAUUGAGAUGCAUCAUAGUUAUCUUAAUAUUAUUUGUUCUGUUUCUUACUCACUGAUCCAUUCCACACAACAAGUAUUCUUCCUGAGAACUAUGCUCAGAUAGUUGAAUAUAUUAUUUUGUACUUAAUUGUUGAAAGAUGGAUUUGUAUUACUAAUGCUGAGAUGGGCAUUACAAUUUUCUUUCAAGGGAACAGACCAAACCAAACUGCGACUUUAUUUGUAAAUAUUUGAAAUUUAUAUUAUGUAUCUUAUGUGAUCUCAGAGGACUUAAUUUUUGUGUGGGGACCUCAAGCUACCUUUAGUGACUUACAAGCUAUCAACCAACAAGAGUUUUCCCUGCUUUUGGAGCCUGCUAAGCUAUCAACAAACAAAGAGGUACUAUGCUGAGACUGAAGAGGAGGCUAGCCAGCGGCCCAUCUCUCUUGCCGUCACCGCUGAGCCGCCAUGUCUCCUUCAGAGGCUUAUUGUAUUGCUACAUGUUUAUGCUUCUUAUCCACUCACCCAUUGUAGUGUAGGUCUGUUGUGGCAAUUGAAUGCUUCAAAGGAUUUUAAUGGAGUUCAUUGUGGCUGAGUCGUGAAUCUCCAGCUUGCUUCCAUGUCUUUUCUCACUAGAGACACCUCCUGCCGGUGACGGCGAUGACCGCUACCCUGCUCCUCUCCCGGCAAAGGCAUGUCUACCUCUCCUGUGAAGUUGGCCAUGUUUGCUCUUCCUUCAGUUUUUCCUCUGUUUUUUGUUACACGACUUUGUGGUGGUUAGUGUAUAUAUCAUUCCCCCCUGUCCAUUGAUUGAACAACUCUGCUACAUGUGAUUGCAUUAGCAAACUCCAUUUUUGUUUAUGUAGAAAAACAAAGGAGACUCCAUUUUUGUGUAUGUGGAAAAAACAAAGGAAACUGCAUUUUUGUGUAAUUACAAACAAAUGAAACUCCAUUUUUGUGUAAUUACAAACAAAUGAAACUCCAUUUUUGUGUAAUUACAAACAAGAGACUUUUAGACGGCGAAGACUGCUGCCCUGAUCCUAAGAGCCUACUGACAUUUCACCAAAUCUUGUUAUAAUUUUUUUAUCAGCAGCAGAUACUUUUAAAUUUGUCUUUACAAUUCCAAGUACAUGAGCAUACUGAUCCUUCUAUUUUUGAU